UGCCUGUGGAGUGUUAGUUCAGUGCCUGUCGGGCUCACCUGUAGACAUGUUGGCAAGGCUGAGCAGGCUAUUUGGGAGAGAGAAUGGAGAGCAUGGAAAUACCAGAGAGAGGCAGAAGGAAGCUGGCCUUCGGAGAAAGAAAUGGUUCUGGGGAAGGCACAGUGCAGUGGCUGUUGACACUAGUCACAGGGAGGGAAACUGCCCCAGCCAGUGGGGUCUCAACGGGGGCGACCCACCUACGGCAGAGAAUGAAAGGGACGGGAGACACGAAGGAAGACAGCAAGACAGAGUUCUGAUCAAGCUGCAAAUUUUAUUCUCCUCACCUUCACAGACCUUGGCCAUGCUAUCCCUUGCUACUCCUGUGUGAUCAGUAUAAAAGCAGCACUCUUCCUUAAGCACACAGACCUCCUUGCUGUAAAAAGAGGAUGUCGAGCCCUCGGCGGUUUUGGAGGACCACCUCUGAAAGGGAGGUGAGGGAGGAUUCAAGGGCAGAAAUGCCUCGCUCAAGCUGCGCUAUAUCUUCAUCUAUGGAAUUCUAAGCUCUGAAUAAUGUUGAUUAGAUAAAACCAGGGAAGCUAAGCCCAUACCGGCCCCUGCAGCCCUGACCCCCAGGAGGAUGGCCAGAGUGACCGUGGUCACAGGUUUCCUUUUCGAGCGAUGGAGGGGGGGGGCAAGGGCAGCCGUCUCUGCCAGAGUCUUCUCUUCCCAUCUUCCCGAGAAUUGGUCUGGGGAAUAAUAGGUUAGCCUAGGGAUAAGUUGAACCAAAAUACAGAAUAAGGGGGCAGAGGGAUUAUUUAAAUGAAGAGAAAUACAUGGUAUUAGGCCAUCAGUACAGGCCCACCAAGUAUCAUUGGCAGGGAGAAGAUAUCCAGACUUAAGGGAGGCAUUUAGGUUAUCUGUGAUAUUACAAGAGGGUUGAUAAAUGAGGGAAUGGUAGUGCCUUGGGUGACAAGGCAGUGGCCUGAGCCCAUAACUUGGGAGAAUGUAAGGCGAGAUGUGGGUGGCUGUUGCCAGCGACAAUCGUGUGGGUCAGUGGUUAGGGAGAAAUCUAAACAGCCACUCCUUCAUAAAAUGGGGGGGGGCAGAAUGAUAGCAAAGCCAGCAGGAGUCAACCAAAUCAGGCUUGGAGGUGUUAAGUACCUGGUAGGUUUUUGUGAUAAGGGUGGUAAUUGUAUCUUUGGUUGGUGGGGGAGGUGGGAACGUGGGAGAAAAACCCGUGGGUGUCUGAGAUACAUUGGUUGUAGGAAAAUCAUGGUUGCCGGGAAGAGAGUUGGGACGGAUGGCAACAGGGUUAGGGGAUUGACAGGCUGUUUAAAAGCUUGAUGAUAAAGGUGACGCCUGUAUCUCUUCCCUCCUGAAAUAGGAGAAGGCCCCAAGUGAGGCCUGCCUCCCAGGCCGAAUGAGCUCUCCCGGCCUCCGUGAAGGUAACUUUUAGGGGGUGGCACCAGGAGGAACAAUCAGGGGUGCCAUGGUAAGUAUUAAUAUGCCCAAUGGAAUGAUUACUGGUAACAGUAAUAAAAUCCCAAGAAGAAGAGGGGUGCCAAUAGGCAUUGCCCAUAGUUUCACAUCCCCAGGACUUGCAAAAAAAGAUCUCCGGUUCCCCCGCAUUUGUGGAGAAGAUUGCAAGGCCGAUGAUGACCAGGGCAGACAUAAAAAUGGAGGGUGGCAAGUUUUUUUCUCUGGGCCUGAUUUGCACACCCUGGGGGGUCGAGGCCUGGGGUUGUGAUAAGAAUCAAAAAGCUCAGGAGCCCUUCUGGUAGGGGGUUGAUCAUCAACAUGACAAUCGGGGAUGUUAAGGCAGCCAUUUUACAAAGGUUGGGGAUAAAGGUCAGGCCAUCAGGGGGCAUGGGUGACUAGGGAAGUUUGCCAGAUGACAUCUUGUCAGCACGUGUUAGGUAUGGUUUAAGGGCUGGUGGCGAUUGGUGUUUUGGGGUAGGCUAGAGAGGCUGUGGCUCGGAAGGAGGAGUAUGAGACCCCAGACAGCCAGCUGACUCACGAUGGGCAGCUUCGUGGUCACGUGAUCUCCAUCUCUUUGGGGUCUCGGUCUUUGAUGGUGGCUUUAGCAUCUGGAAGAGAAGAAGGAGGGUCCUGGGGGGGGCGGGGCAGUCAAUCCCCUGGGUAUGUUAGGUAAAUUUACAGAACAGACCAGGCUCUCAGGGAGCCAGUGUGGGGGCGCCAUGUGCCUGGUCAAGGAUGCAAGCGGAGCCAUGGCCCCAGAUAAGUACAGGAUCUGGACCAUUCCAAACGCCUGUAAGGGGGUCUCGUCACAUGGCCAAAGGGCGGCUGGUGUCUGCUGCGGGGUGCCAAUGGCGGUCAGCCGCUGAUCGACCUUCACCAUCCAGGGUGAGGAGGUUAAGAACAAGGAGGGCAUGGCUCAGGCGGUCUCGGGGGGAGACGAAGGAAAGCUUGGACAUCUUUAAUCGAGAGAGCCAUGUUUUUAAGGUCUGGUGGGCCCGUUCUACAAUGCCCUGACCUUGAGGGUUGUAAGGGAUACCAGUAGUGUGAGAGAUUUCAAACUGUUGGAGGAACCGCUUAAGUCCUUCACUGGUGUAUGCUGGGCCAUUGUCUGUUUUUGUGUGUUUUGGGAUACCCAAGGUAGAGAAGCAGACCAGGAGGUGAGUGAUAACGUCCUUGACGGCCUCACCAGUGUGAGGGGAGGCAAAAAUAAAUCCGCUGAACGUGUCAACAGAAACAUGAAGAUAUUCUUGUCUGCCGAAGUCAGGAACAUGUGUGACACCCAUUUGCCAAGUCAUAUUAGGCAGGAGUCCACGGGGGUUAACUCCAACAUGGGGGACGGGAUGGGAGACUAUACAAGAAGGGCAUUGUUUAACUAUCUCUCUAGCUUGUUGUUUUGUGAUUUUGAGCUUUAACCGAAGGGUUUUGGCAUUAAGAUGGUGGAGGCGGUGGGCGCGAGAAGCCGACAGGAUGGGCUCUUGUAGGACUGGAAAAACCUGGCGAGUGGCUGUAUCAGCCAGAGCGUUUCCCUCUGUGAGGGGGCCAGGAAGCUCCCCAUGAGCACGAAUGCGGCCAAUGAAAACAGGAUGGGAGCAUUCUCUAAGUUUUUGUUGGAUUUGAGUGAAAAGGGGAGUGGCAUUGGAGGUGGGUUUAAUGAAGAGGGCUGUCUCAAGAAGGGGAAUUGGAGGAGCGAUGUACGCACUAUCAGUGUAAGGGGGGGAAUCCUGGAAAUCCUGAAAAACCUGCAGAACAGCAAAGAGUUCAACCAGCUGAGCUGAACGAAAGGGCGAAGGAAAGGGGAACGAGUGACCUUGAAAAGCAUAAGCUGCAGUGCCAUUGGCUGACCCAUCGGUAAAGACGGCCGGGGCAUCAGGCAAGGGGCUGGGGAAAUGACUUUUGGGAAAAUAAAGGGAUGAGUGCUUGCAAAA